AACGAACGCUGGCGGCAGGCUUAACACAUGCAAGUCGAGCGCCCCGCAAGGGGAGCGGCAGACGGGUGAGUAACGCGUGGGAAUCUACCCAUCUCUACGGAAUAACGCAUGGACACGUGUGCUAAUACCGUAUACGUCCUUCGGGAGAAAGAUUUAUCGGAGAUGGAUGAGCCCGCGUUGGAUUAGCUAGUUGGUGGGGUAAAGGCCUACCAAGGCGACGAUCCAUAGCUGGUCUGAGAGGAUGAUCAGCCACACUGGGACUGAGACACGGCCCAGACUCCUACGGGAGGCAGCAGUGGGGAGUAUUGGACAAUGGGCGCAAGCCUGAUCCAGCCAUGCCGCGUGAGUGAUGAAGGCCCUAGGGUUGUAAAGCUCUUUCACCGGUGAAGAUAAUGACGGUAACCGGAGAAGAAGCCCCGGCUAACUUCGUGCCAGCCGCCGCAGUAAGAC
rnacentral:rRNA from 1 species